ACAGUGCUGAGCAGAGCAAGGUUGGGUUCGCUCCUCUGGCAGAACCUCGGCUCUCAGGAGGUCCUUGUUCCAGGGAACAGCUGCUUCUCUGGGGCUGGGCUCUACUCCCUGCAGCCCCUCGCACUACCCAGCUGGAACCAGGGACAACGCCUGAGUCCAACCCUCGUGUCUAUUUUCCAGAAAACGGGCAAUGCUGUGAGAGCCAUUGGAAGACUGUCCUCUAUGGCAAUGAUCUCAGGGCUCAGUGGCAGGAAAUCCUCAACAGGGUC
rnacentral:lncRNA from 1 species